rnacentral:rRNA from 1 species
UACGAAGGGGCUAGCGUUGCUCGGAAUCACUGGGCGUAAAGGGCGUGUAGGCGGCAGGUAAGUCGGGCGGUGAAAUCCCUGGGCUCAACCCAGGAACUGCACUCGAAACUACUUGCCUUGAGGUGCCAGAGAGGAAAGCGGAAUUCCUGGAUGUAGAGGUGAAAUUCGUGAGAUAUCAGGAGGAACGACCAGUGGCGGAAGGCGGACUUUCUGGACGGUAACUGGACG